rnacentral:rRNA from 1 species
GACGAACGCUGGCGGCGUGCUUAACACAUGCAAGUCGAACGAUGAACCCGGAGCUUGCUCUGGGGGAUUAGUGGCGAACGGGUGAGUAACACGUGAGUAACCUGCCCUGGACUCUGGGAUAAGCGUUGGAAACGACGUCUAAUACCGGAUAGGACCUUGGAUCGCAUGAUCUGGGAUGGAAAGUUUUUUCGGUCUGGGAUGGACUCGCGGCCUAUCAGCUUGUUGGUGAGGUAAUGGCUCACCAAGGCGUCGACGGGUAGCCGGCCUGAGAGGGUGACCGGCCACACUGGGACUGAGACACGGCCCAGACUCCUACGGGAGGCAGCAGUGGGGAAUAUUGCACAAUGGGCGAAAGCCUGAUGCAGCAACGCCGCGUGCGGGAUGACGGCCUUCGGGUUGUAAACCGCUUUUAGUAGGGAAGAAGGGCUUCGGCUUGACGGUACCUGCAGAAAAAGGACCGGCUAACUACGUG